GGCCAUCCCGUACCCGAUGACGUGAGCGCUGACAAGAUUAGGCAGCACCUGCACACCUUUUCUCUCUCUCUCUAACUUGUAAGGCCGUCCCCUUGAACAAUAAAGGGAGGCGCGCUCUCUCUCUCAAUCUAUCGAAGACUCUCGAACUCUCUCCAACACUUAGUGCAUGUUUGAGCCCCCAUCACUCUCGUCCACUCGAACUAGAGCACGACUGGGCCUCGAACACCCCCUUCUG
rnacentral:lncRNA from 1 species